GUUUGCUCAUGCACAGAGUAAUUGCAAAAGAGAAUGGGUCACAAGGAGAAGGCCUCGAGGACAAAAAAGAAAAAAAAAAAAAAAAAAAGAAAAGAAAGAAAACUAAAACCUUCCCUGUAUGUAUUAUGACAGUUCAUGAGUUCAUGGGAACUGGCAAAGACAGCUGCAGUCUGUGGCAAACACCAGGAGUGCUGCCAGAAGAACGACACCAGCUGCAGGUCUCCCACCUCACACUUUGCUUCCUGAAGUUCAUCUUCUUCCCCUCCCAUUAGAGGAGCUCGCAUAAGUGAAGGUCCACAUCGCACAAGAUAUUCCCAGCUGCUUUUAUGGAAUAUCUCUGAAUCACGAGUGCUACCUCUGAUCAUAUAGAAGCACUGGAGAACAAGAACUGAAAGGCAGAAUUUUGAGUUUAAAGAUCUACCAACUGGUAAAUUCAAGCUAGUAAAUUUAUAGUGGUAGCAGGAUAUGGUUCAUGGCUGCAGUGGAAUGUACCUGUAGGAGGAUCUGCUCUUUGUGGAGGAGCAACUCCAAGCAGAUGUACCAACAGUGAGCUUCUAGCAUCAAGGCAGAUACCUUGAACUGGUCUGUGCAACAGAAAAGGAACGAGGAGGGACAACAGAGCACUCAGAUGAUGAAGAAUUUGUACAUAUAAGUCUUCCGAGGGUGGAUAAGCAGAUGGUUCCUAGAUAAGAUGAACACCUGUUAAAAAGCAGAACAGUUCUGGCCAUUUCACACAGAGGCCUCAUCCUUUUCACAGUGGCUCAAAGGUAAUGCUAGGGAGCCAGGAAAGUGAGCUGGCUUACUACACAGCUGUGUGCUGAGCAUAGACUUCUCUAAAACAAGGUACUGCACUUCCAGUCCUUCUGGAUUAUCCCUAAAGGGAAAUAUCUGUGUCAUAAAGGAUUGAUAUUCCUGGCUACAGCUUUUGUUCUCCAGAUCCUGAGUGGGAUCAGACAGGCUUGUGUAGUAAUCACACAAGGAAGACCUAAGGAUUAACUUUGCUGUCAUUGCACCAGAAGAAAUGCUGCACUCUUUUUGCUCCCACACUAUUAUGGAUUUCUAGAAACCACUUUCCAAAGGACAUUUGAAGAUCUCUCCAGUUCCUUGUUUAUAAUCUCCAAACCACUUUCACAGCUUUGUUCUUCAGCCACACUGACAGCUUCUCUUUGCUUCAUGACCACGGCACAUUUGCUGGGUAACGUGAGACCACUAUGCUGUCUGCACAUGUGGGUCUUGUUACACUGUGAGCAAAAGAUCAGCAGUGCCAAGCAGCUGGUAGUACAGGGCAGUCCAUUGUGCAGGAAGACUUCACAGUUCUUUUCAACUUUAUUUUAAGAUACACUAACAGUCCAGCACUACGUAUGUGUUAACAGUAACCCUCUAGAAGGCUCUCAUUCUAAGAAAAUACUAAAGUGACUUACCAAAAAGUGGAUAGGUUGGUCCUCAAGUAUUUCAUUGAGUGAAAGUUAUAGCAAAUUUAAUUCAAAUUAAGUCAUUCACUUAAUUUCAGUUGGACAAGGAUUUCAUAUAUAGCCUAUUAGUGUUUAACUGACACACUGAUAGUUUUAAGGAAUAUACUGUCCUUAUUGGAAGUGUGUAUUUUGUUAAAUAAUAAUAAAAUAAGAAUACUUUUUAAACUGGUAAUGGAUAAAUAGAUAUAUUAUUGUACCUAGAAAUACAUUUCAUGGGAAGUUUUCAAUUUAAAGAAUACAGUAAAAAAAUCAAGUUGUAGUUUGGUACCUGCCCAUCUGUCCCAAUGGUGCCUCCACAAUCUGUGAGGAGCUCAGACAUGUCAUAAUAGCUAACAAACUCCCAUAAACAGGCUUCCAGAUUCAGAUUUCGGUAGAACCGUAAGGUAUUGAAGCCUCUGAUUGCUGGGCUGUAUUGGUAGGGAAUGGUCUCUCCAAUCACAUCUGAAUUUUUGGUAGCAUCAGUCAAGAAACCAUGGUGGGUCUUCACUUCUGUGUAAUCCAGCAGGUUGGAGCACUUAUGGUUUCCAACUCUAGUUCCAUCAGGGCUAAGUGUCAGCUCAAAAUUGGAGAGCUCCCUUGUAGAAAUAACAGGCAGCAUGCCUAAGAAAAAUAAAAUAAUUAUAUCACUAUCACUAAAUUUCAGUGCUCUGAGUUGUUUAACUUAGCAAAAAAAUCUCAAACACCAAGCAUAUUAUGAAGUGCUUCUGUACAGUAAUGAAUGUACUUUGGAGUUCAAAGAAAGAUGAUACACCAUGUGCGUCUUUUUACUAUGAAAUGCCAGCUAUUUCUAAAUCUCCAACAUUAUUCAAUUGGAAUUUUUGAUAAGUUUUCAGAAGCAUGUAGCAAUUAAACUGCUCUGUAUGUUUUUAAAUAAAUGUUAAAUAUUCCUUGAUAUAACUAUGCACUCAGAGGUAUUUUAUUAAGUGUAGGUCUAGCCCAAUUUAUGUAAACUAUGCAAUUAAUCUGGGAACAGUCUUCACAUCAAAGACUGUGAAGCUAUACAGCAUCUUAUGCAUCUUACAGCAAAGUACAUUUGUACAUUCAUGGCAUUUUUCUAUGGUUCCAUGUGUUAAAAGAUUACACUAUGAUUUUUACUACUUAAAAUAACAUGACUAAUAAAAUAGCUCAAAUGACAGCAAGUUGUACAACUUUUCUUGACUCUACAGCUUCUUUUGUCAUACCAUCAAUGUGUGGCAUCGUGACUGUCAGCUUGAUGAGAUUGGCAUAAGCUGGAUCUUCUGGGCCUGUAUAGCGCAGUUUGGCAGAGAAUGGUUCUGCUCCAACAACUCCUGACACACGAGGCUGACAAAGACCUAAUGGAAAAAAAGAGAAAGUAACCUUACUUUAUGUCCAGAAGAAAUAAUCUAUACUUUCCCUUGAAUUAAUUUUAGACACACUUCUUUUCCCACUGGAUAUUCUGCCAAAACAAGGAGAAUUUUCUGAAAAGACAGGUAAAUGCUAUGGAGAGCAUUUAUUAGAGGUUUGAGCAGGAAUUUAUGCAAAAGAAUAGUCAAGUAGGAAUCAUAAUUUAUCAGUUGGAUCACAUUUUCAAAACCUGGUGAUGACUGCACCUGUACAUUUUCAGUUGAAUAUUGCAACUGUAGUUGCAAAAUAAGUGUCAGGAACCCUACUUCCUUACAGAUGACCUCAGAGGGCUUAAUUCCCUUUCUCUUAAACACAUAUUGAGCUUUAUGGAGGAUACCUGAUCAGUUUUCAGCUGCUUUUGGCACUGGACUGGGGUGUGGACCUAUAUAUGACUUCAUAGGACUCUAUAAGCCACUUGUCCCAUUAGAGAAUAGUGUCAUAAACUAAUUUUAUUUGGAAAUGUUCUCUAGGAACACCAUGCUCAAAGUGUAGCCAGCUUCUAAGUCAGAUCAGGGCCUUAUUCUGUUGAUUCUAACUUUUUUCCAAGGCUGGACAAUCUAUAAGUUCUUUUGUCAGCCCAUUCUGGGCUUAGUUCAAAUUGUUCUACGAUUAGUCCUGGUUUGCAGGACCAGCAGAGUAGGUUUGCAUUGUAUGAUAUGAGAUACAUGCAACUUCCAGUAACACUGUUCAGUGUAGAAAUGCUUGCAUCCUGGUCACAAGGUGGGUCUUUUGAGAAAGAAACCAUCAGAGGUGGAUAAUCUGAGCAUUCCCUUUAGCACGUUUUGUUAUUUGCCCAUUUCUGAGGGGUUACAAAAAAAGUAAAGGAGGCAGGGCUCACCUCCUGGAUCGUUUAUUGGUUCUGGUGGACUUCAUUUUGCUCAACAGCUCUAAGCUGGAAGCAGCAGGUUUGAGGGCACAAGAUUUCUCUUCUGCAAAACAAUAAUUUAUUUAUUCUCCAAUGCAAGUAAGAUGUGCUAAAGAGACUAAACGCAAUUUUUUUUUGCACAAUCUGACUUACUUUUGAGAAUUUGGUCUAUUCACUGGAAAUCAAAUGCUGUUGAAGUUGCAGAUAGGAUUUUGGCAUGUUGCUUAGAUCACUGUACAUCUUUGAAAAUAGCAUAUAACAACUAUUUGAUUUCCACCAUCUGUGUUGUAUAUGAUUAUCAGAACUGCAAGGCCGUUAAGGUACAGGAAGUACUAUAUUUGUGACAGUUCAAUGCUGAUCCUGGGCUAAUUAGCUCUGCUAAUUUGUCAUGUGUAAUCCAAGUAAUGCAUUAUAAGUCUAACAUAGUCAGACUGUUUUAUAUAACCAAACUAGCUCAUCCAACACAAGGUUGUCUGUAUUUAAAAAGCACUACACUGUAUCUUGCAGACAAUACCCUCAGAGUCCUUUUUAGUCCUUUUUAGGAUUCCUGAUAGUGCAAACAAAAGUGACUUUGGCGUACAGUCAAAAUGUGAAAUAAAGAAAGCAGGUAAAUAGAAAUUUCAUUUAUUAAGCUCCCUAGAGCCCUAACUUUGCAGGAAACAAAGGGUUUAUCUAAAAUAUUUAGUUGGAAAGAUCAAGGAAAUUAAAAUGAUAUUGCAAAUGAACAAUCACCUAAUUAUCUACUGUAAAAUCUUACAAAAGCCAGAAGACUUAAUGCAGCAACAAAAACAGCAGAGAUGACACAGAGAAUACAGUAUUUUGUAAUUCAGCUUGAUGGCUGACAAUUACUCAUUCAACAGAUUAUACAGUAAAAAAAAGUAUCUGAGAUUGCUAUGAAAAACAGCAUAUGCUAUCAGACUGUACUCAUGGCCAUUUCGUUUCCACACCUCUGCUUCAUAACUUCAUAACAGUCUAAGUUUCAUGAAAAGAGGUGGCUGGGCAAAGGAGGUAGACUACACUACCUAUGCUGGUUGAGAGGAUGCAGCACCAAUUCAAUAUAUACACUUCUAUGAUGCUAAGAUACCUUUCAUACUAUCUAUAUUAAAAGUAGAAGGAAAGCUGGAGCUGUAAGUGUGAAAAUGCCUUAUAAUGACAUUCAAUUUUGUAGGAAGUUUGUAAUAGAUCAUACCUUACCUUCUGAUGUGCUUAUAGUUACAAUAGGACUCAUAAGUUCAAGACCCUCAUUCCCAUCUGAAUUGACAGCACGAGCUGCACAUUGGACACGAGAGCCAGCUUGAAAGUAAAUGGAGUCGAGUGUGAUCAUCUUGGAUGAAGUGAAGAAGGUAUCGAAGUCAACCUCCUUCAUGGGGCUUGUAACGCCAUCAGGACCAGUGGGUGCACUCACAAGCCAUCGAUAUUGUGUCAGAGUAUUAUUGAUGUUUUCACUAGCACAUAUUGAACCAGUCUUAUCAAAGUCUUCGUAUUUAGGAUUGCAAGCUGUAAUGCAGAUGACAGGAUAGCCAGCUACAGGACUGGUUCUGUCUUUGGCUCUGGAAGUAUCAUCAUAUAUCAAAAGGGAUGCAACUUGAGGGACAGAAGGAAAGGUGACAUCUGCCAUGCUGUUCAUUUCUUCAAUGUAAACAAUGGCCUUGGCUGUCUGUAUUUCAGCAACCAUGUUCUCAUCAGGUUUCAGAUGAACAGUAAAGGCUUCUCUCAUCUCCCUAACUCCAUCAAAGAGAACUUCAAUCUCCACAAAGUGCUGUGUUUCAC
rnacentral:lncRNA from 1 species